rnacentral:rRNA from 1 species
UACGUAGGGGGCGAGCGUUGUCCGGAUUUAUUGGGCGUAAAGAGCGUGUAGGCGGCCAGGUAGGUCUGCUGUGAAAACUCGAGGCUCAACCUCGAGACGUCGGCGGAAACCAUCUGGCUAGAGUCCGGAAGAGGAGAGUGGAAUUCCUGGUGGUAGCGGUGAAAUGCGCAGAUAUCAGGAGGAACACCUAUUGCGAAGGCAGCUCGCUGGGACGUAACUGACGCUGAGACGCGAAAGCGUGGGGAGCAAACAGG